rnacentral:pre_miRNA from 1 species
AGUGAAAUUGCUAGGUCAUAUGGUUACUGUUUAAUUUUUGAGGAACUGCCAACUCUUUUCCAAAGUGGCUUCACCAUUUACAUCCCCAUCAGCCGU